rnacentral:lncRNA from 1 species
AGGUCAAUUUGAAGAUUGACAUCUUCAUCAUAUUGAUCUUCUGGUCCAUGAAGACUGGCCUAUGUGUGACUUUGCCUACGGUUUCUUGACUCUGGCUGGCUGGCAUUUUAUACUCUCCAGUCUGUAGCUGCUGAAGUACCUGUAUUAAAUGUAAUCUUAGGUGUUGGCUUGAGACUACGUCCGUUCAGCCUUUAUUCCUGUUGAAUAGUUUGGUGCAUUGAUCCUAUCGGACGGCCAGUCCAUCUUUGGCUGCACAGGAGGGGAGAACAGAGUCCCAUACUGUGGUACAUUCCGCACUGCUGAGAUGCUCUGAUUAUUCCAUGCACAUUAUUGGACAUUUGAGUGACGUUGAGUCAUUUCAACCUAAUGAACUGAUUGGAAGCUGACUCGCCCCGAGACCUGCUCUCUUCCCAUGCGCCUGUUGGGUAACCACCAGAGAAGACUGCUCAGGCAUGAAUCUUCUUCCACAUCAUCCGGUGCCUCCCUUACCUGCCCAGCUCGAAGGUCAGGAGCCAUCCUCCAUGUAUCUCGGUCCCUCAAUUCUCCAGAAAGGAGGGUGUGCUGCCUCAGAUGACAAGACAGAUCCUAAUCUCAACCACCCUGGCCUUCUCCACUGCAGUGGCCAGAACUUUUCCAUCCCCAAUGAGAUUGCAAUAGUUCUGUAGCGCCCCUGGGUCUACACUUGCUCUCCUGUCACCCAGCAUGCACACACAAGCAAGAAUGCUCUGUCCAUUGUUGUGCCUCUCCUCAACUUGAAAUUCUUAUGAAAAUUUCCUGCUUCACUUUACAUGGAAUGUGGACGCCUCACAUACCAAAAGUAGUUUACAGUGGCAACCUCCAUUUUCUGGAAGCCUAAGUUUACUGAUAUCUUGCCCACCUCCAUGGGAGCAGACCUGCCCACUCCAGUACUUCUUGCUUAUCAGAACGUCUGUCUGGUGUUGAAUGACAGUUCCAGUUAUCUUGCUAAGUCACUGAUUUGUGGAUGAAAUCUCCUCACAGUGGACCCACUCUGCUCAAGAGCCAGAACCUGUUCCUCCAGACGGCCCAUUACGGCUUCAUGUAUGAGAUAACACUGAAAUCUGACCACCAGUGACUUAGGACCAGACAUUUAUGAACAUAGACUCAAGUUCAGGUUUUAAGGCACAAAUCCAUUGUCUUUGGUACAACGUUUGGGGCUACUCUCAAUGUGGUGGAUUGAAUAUGUUUGGCACAGGGAGUGGCACUCUUAGGAGGUGUGGCCUUGUUGGAGGAAGUGUGUCACUGUGGGGGUGGACUUUGAGGUUCUUAUGUUCAAGCUCUGCCCAGUGUGGAAUGGGAGCUUCCUCCUGACUUUCUGUUGAUAGGCGUCUCCUUCUGCUGCCUUUGGAUGAACUUGCAGAUGGAUGUAGAACUCUCAGCUCCUUCCCCAGCACAGUGUCUGCCUGGAUGCUGCCAUGCUUUCUGCCAUGAUGAUAAUAGACUGAACCUCUGAAACUGUAAUCCAGCCCCAAUGAAAUGUUUUCCUUUCUAAGACUUGCCUUGAUCAUGGUGUCUCUUCACAGCAAUAAAACCCAAACUAAGACGCUUGAUAUUAUGGAC